rnacentral:sRNA from 1 species
UGACCACUUCCGACAAGAAGUUGAGGCCAACGGACAGCCGGGUCAAAUGCCGA